GUCGCUAUUACGGAUUGGAUUAUUUAGUGAGGUCUCUGGACCUUACCACUGUUUUAUGUAUUGCAGAUGUCUGGAAAAAGUUGACCGAAUUUGAUUAUUUAGAGCAAGUAAAAGUC
rnacentral:rRNA from 1 species